rnacentral:rRNA from 1 species
UACAGAGGGUGCGAGCGUUGUCCGGAAUCACUGGGCGUAAAGGGCGCGUAGGCGGCCUUCUAAGUCGAACGUGAAAUCCCCGGGCUCAACCCGGGAACUGCGUCCGAUACUGGAAGGCUUGAAUCCGGGAGAGGGAUGUGGAAUUCCAGGUGUAGCGGUGAAAUGCGUAGAUAUCUGGAGGAACACCGGUGGCGAAGGCGACAUCCUGGACCGGUAUUGACGCUGAGGCGCGAAAGCCAGGGGAGCAAACGGG